GACAAUCGCACGACCUCGUGCGUCCAUGUCAUGCAUCCGCCAACUCGGCGUUACUACUCCCGACCUAUACAACACUAACGGGUGACAUUAAUAACUGUUCGGCUAUUCCUGACCAAAACGCUGAGACCAUAAUUCACUAGCGGGACGGGCGUACUGGGCCCCUUCAUCACUUCUAGACAUAGCGUGGUCCGGGCGUACGUGGCCCCUUCAACCAGCUUACCAACCGUGGGUCGGGCGUGCUAGGCCCCUUCGCCCCUUCUCUAUAGCGUGGCCCGGGCGUACAAGGCCCCUUCAACCAGCUACCCAUGGCCCGGGCGUACAAGGCCCUUUCAACCCUUUACAUAGACGUCGCUCGGGCGUACUAGGCUCAUCCCACUUCUGAUGUAGUCUUUCGACU
rnacentral:misc_RNA from 1 species